GAAAAGAACAAAUUGGAACGGAACAGUUUCCAAACAGUGAAGGAGGUUUUUCCAAACUCAUCCCUAACUGAACAUGAGGAUGAAUUGGCAUUAGGCAAACACAGUCAGUUAUUCAGUCCACCACCUGACUGUGUUCAAUUCUAAUUCUGUUAGUGCUGCACUAAAAGUAUCAUUAGUAAUAAGUCCAUGCAGCGAAGGAACUGAACUAUUGUGGGACCGUAUUUGGGAUGAAAAUGGGUGUGGUACACAAUGCCGGAAAUGGCACAAGUUGAACAUGAAACAUGGAUUAGAAUUUUAGUGGGGGAUGAAGUCAAGUCUGGAAGUGUUACAGGAUGGAAGAGUCAGCCUAUAGUUGAAUGAAAAAACACUGAGAGUGCAUUACCAUUAAGGUAUGAGG